rnacentral:rRNA from 1 species
AGUCGAACGGCAGCACGGGAGCAAUCCUGGUGGCGAGUGGCGAACGGGUGAGUAAUACAUCGGAACGUGUCCUGUAGUGGGGGAUAGCCCGGCGAAAGCCGGAUUAAUACCGCAUACGCUCUGCGGAGGAAAGCGGGGGAUCCUUCGGGACCUCGCGCUACAGGGGCGGCCGAUGGCAGAUUAGCUAGUUGGUGGGGUAAAGGCCUACCAAGGCGACGAUCUGUAGCUGGUCUGAGAGGACGACCAGCCACACUGGGACUGAGACACGGCCCAGACUCCUACGGGAGGCAGCAGUGGGGAAUUUUGGACAAUGGGCGAAAGCCUGAUCCAGCAAUGCCGCGUGUGUGAAGAAGGCCUUCGGGUUGUAAAGCACUUUUGUCCGGAAAGAAAACCUCCGCCCUAAUAYGGUGGGGGGAUGACGGUACCGGAAGAAUAAGCACCGGCUAACUACGUGCCAGCAGCCGCGGUAAUACGUAGGGUGCAAGCGUUAAUCGGAAUUACUGGGCGUAAAGCGUGCGCAGGCGGUCCGCUAAGACAGAUGUGAAAUCCCCGGGCUUAACCUGGGAACUGCAUUUGUGACUGGCGGGCUAGAGUAUGGCAGAGGGGGGUAGAAUUCCACGUGUAGCAGUGAAAUGCGUAGAGAUGUGGAGGAAUACCGAUGGCGAAGGCAGCCCCCUGGGCCAAUACUGACGCUCAUGCACGAAAGCGUGGGGAGCAAACAGGAUUAGAUACCCUGGUAGUCCACGCCCUAAACGAUGUCAACUAGUUGUCGGGUCUUCAUUGACUUGGUAACGUAGCUAACGCGUGAAGUUGACCGCCUGGGGAGUACGGUCGCAAGAUUAAAACUCAAAGGAAUUGACGGGGACCCGCACAAGCGGUGGAUGAUGUGGAUUAAUUCGAUGCAACGCGAAAAACCUUACCUACCCUUGACAUGUAUGGAAUCCUGCUGAGAGGUGGGAGUGCCCGAAAGGGAGCCAUAACACAGGUGCUGCAUGGCUGUCGUCAGCUC